AUUUGACUUCUUGCUAACAUCUGCUGCAGCCCUUCCACAUCCACAAAAUAUUCCAGUUUCUAUUCUUCACAGUCUGUUCGUGAAGGGUGACAUGAUGGGGUUUGAACUGGGAGAGGAUGACUUGGAGGCUUCUGGGCUAUAUCCAGACCUGGAAUUUAGAACAAUCGAUCAACUUCUUGAUAUUUUUCUCACUAGCCCUCCAGAUCCUGCAGCUGCUGCUUUUGAAUGAGUUUUAUGAUCUGUGAUUUCCAUAUCUUGAAUUCGUUUUCUUGUUUGUCGGCAGAUAUACAGACAUCUAAUCUAAAAGGUCGGGUUGUGAGGCCGAGGCCAUUAUUAUUAAUACUAGACUAAGAAGUUAAUUAAAAUCCUCCUCUUCUAAUUUGUCCAUCCAUCAGUCAUUAAUGUGCAACCAGUCUUCUUCCAAAUCUCUCAAUAACUCUUAACAUAAAUCUUCACUUCAUCAACCGCUUUCGCCAAGUAAUAACCACGAAUAGCAAGCAAGUUUGGUCUUUUAUAACCAAGAUUCAUGGCUGUUACAGCAUUUAUGGCAUGCUGAUAAUACACAGAGUUAACAACAUUAAAUGGCACACAUGCAUUAGUCAUCCACUUCGCUAAAGCAAGAUCACACUGUUUAACUGCUUCCUUCCUUUGCCAACAAUUCUGCAGAGACUUUUGAGCACCAGGAGUUGUUCUUUGUAUGAAAUAUGUCCCUAAUGUUGCAGAUUUCUUCUGCUUUCCAUAACUUGUAGUUGAUUGUUUUACAGUGCUAGUGCUUUGAAUCUUUUUCUUUUUUGCAACCUUCGGUGGUAACAUAUGUUUUUUUAGCAUCCUCAUCAUCAUCACCCUCAUCAUCAUCAUCACCAUCAUCAUCUUCUAAUUGUCUAAUCAUCAUCUCUUCAUGCUUCCUUUGUUGUGCAUUAAAUGGAUUGAAAUCUGCUUGCAUUUCUCUAACUCUUUUUUGUGUUUCAACAUUUCCUUUAAGAUUCAAAAGCAUUUGAUGUCAAACAUCAAAAAGACAUUUGCGAAAUUAUUCAACUUCUCCUUUAGCUCCAGCUAAAUGUUGCUUAAAUCAAUUAAUGUCACCACCUACAAAUACUUUAACACAAUAUAAACAUACUAAUUUAGUUUUUUUACAUCCAACACCAAGUUCAGGAGCUUCUCUACAAUGACCCCAUGCCAAAUCUGUUCUUCCUCUACUACCACUUGACAUGGAAAUUGAAGGUUGAGAUGAUUGGGCCGUUUAAGGAUCACUACUUGGAGUACUACCAUCAUGUGAAGACAUUUUAAGGACCUGACAUAAUUUAUAAACACAGAACCAUAACGAACCUAACAAAAUAGAAAGUCGCAUCUGACUACAAUAAAUAGAUAUACUAUGAUAGAAGAAACAUAUCCAGCAGUUAGAACUAUAAGAUAAUUUAUUCUAAAGAUUUGGGAAAACAACCUUCUCACUCUCCCUGUUUCUAUCAGAAAAUCAAAGCAAUUUAUUCUUAUCAUACAAGAAAAAAACAUUCUGUGACAUUUUGUGCCAGAUAUAUUUCCAUAGGCAUUGAAUUUGGAAGCCUAGCUUGGGCAACUAGGCAAAAAUCAAUAAUUGUAGGUGCUUAAAGUUCAGGCCACUAGACAAUUAAGGACACAGCAAGGAAGAACUAUAAAUAUAUUUAAAGAAAUGCAGAAAUAGAUAAAUAUCAUAAAACAAAUUUAAAUAGUUAUUAUCGUUGCAAAGUGUAUAAGUUGCCAAUAACAAGUAACCUAAUUUCAUAAAGCAAUGUUACAGUUAUGCAUCUUGCUUGUUAAGACUGCCUAUCCAACCACUCCAUCUGGGAUAUCCAUUUCUCAUUCUAACCAUCAUAGUUUUCAGACCCAGUCCAAGGCCCGGGUUUCGGGUUUUGACCGGGUCAACGGGUUUUGACCGGGUCGCCCGGGACAAUUCUUUUUUUUAAAAUCAAAACGAUGUCGUUUUAGAAAAAAACAAAAGUCAACGGGUUGCAACCGGGUUUUUUACUGGGUCUUGCUGAGUCAACCGGGUCACCGGGUCAACCCGCCGGGUCGGCGGGGUUCCGAGGCGACCCACCGGGUCGGGCCGGGUUUCAAAGCUAUGCUAACCAUAGAAAAGGAAGGCAAAGGGGUGCAUCAGGCUUCACACAUUCAUUCAAUGUUUCAUAUGGUUGAGAUCAAGAUAAAUAUUGUUCCAAAACAAAACAAAACAAAUAUAGUUCAGGGACAUCAUAUCAUGCACAAUGUCUUACACAAUCUAUUACUUCUUCACGGUAUUCAUUACGAGCUUCUUUCAGGCGUCUUAAUUUCUCACAACAAACAUUUUCUCUUAUUUGUUUGUCAGUUUCUUCACUACUUCAUAAUCCAUUUUCUACGCGUCUUCAUUGCUUCAAUAAACUAUGAAGCAGUAUUGAGAAGUUUCUAAUAUACAGCUUAACUAAUAUGCAGCUUACGAAGAAAUAACUUAAAUAAAUCAAGAAAAAUAAGGCAGACGCUUUAUUAAGUUGCAGAAAAGAAAAGAACAGAGAAAUAUACAUGUGGGUGUGAACUGCGAAUGAAUCGAUACAAAGAUCAAGAACUGUGAAUCGAUGCCAGAUCAAGAACUGCAAGUUCAAAAAAAGGCAAAGAAUAAAGAAAAGAGAGAGUGAAAGAAGGAGAUUCGUGAAGAGAAACAAGAGUCUAACCUUAUUCGCAGAUUUGAAACAGUGAUCAAGAGUCUUCUGCUCCUCUAUGUCUGCAAUUCUACAUCAUUCAUCUUCAUCAUUUUGGCUUUUUAAAAGACCAAAACAACGUCAUUUCACGUCUAUAUAUAUAUAUAUAUAUAUAAAGAGAUCGGGUCUCAGCCGGGUUUCGCCGGGCCAACUCCCCAGCGGGUUUUUACUUAGACUUGGAUCGGUCCCAGGCCCGGGUCGGCUAGGUCCCGGGUCGACUCGCCAGGCCGGUUCGGGUUUCAAAACUAUGGUUCCUCUUUCCACGAUCCAAGACCGGAGUUUUAAGAAAGCUCUUUUUGGGGGAGAGCCUUUUUUUUUUUUUAGUUUUAAGAGAAAGGUGUGUUGUUCAAAAUUAGCAAAUAAAAUUAGACAAAUAAAAAAAAAUGUUUAGUUUAUAUAAAUAUACAAUAUAAUACGUACAUGGUUACUUACAAUCAUAACAGAAAUUCUUAGAUAUCUCUGUUUGAGGCUGUUAAUGUAACUCUAAGGUACUUUAAACAUGGGGAAAAAAAACUACGUAUUUAGGGCGGCAAAGAAAUUCUUAGGCAUGAAAAGACCUGCACUCUGCGCUCGCACAAAUCAUGGGACCUCCUAUGAAAAUUAUUAAUGAAUCUCACCAUAAUAAUACAAUUUCUGACAUUUUUGUCAGCUUUGAAAGUGAAAAUGAAUACUACAAAUCUAGUAUAAUUAUCAUUGUUCACGUAUCAUGUUUAUCACAUGAAAUCUUCUUUAUGUUUUUUCGCUUUCCUUGUCAUUUUCUGGAGUUCAAGAUAUGUGGGUAUGAAGGCUGUGGUCCUCUGCCUCAGUUCUGUCAGUGGUGCCUUUGUGAAUCUGUGAUUCACAAGUGAGCCUUGCACUGGAUUGUUGUCGGGAAGUCCUAUUUCCUUUAAUUGACUAAUUAUUCUAAAUUCUACAUCAGACAGACCAACAAGUAAUUGUGGUACUUGUUAUUUAGAUUUUUAACUUCAUCAUAUCCUUCAGCCACUUGAUACCACUAACAUGUUUCUAUAGUUUGGCAUUUAUUUUUUAUUUUUUCAUAUAAAAAAGAGUGUUGAAUUUAUUGUUUUUGAGUCAUCGUAUUUUAGAGUAAAUAUAAUUUAGUCCUUGAUUUAAUUUUCUUAAUUGAGUCCCUGCUACUUGAUUAAAAUUAUAAACUUGAUUAAAAUUAAUGUAAUAUAUUAAAUGUGUUGAUGAAUAAGGUAAGAGUUAAGUGAAUUUAAAUAGGUAUAUCCAUUAUCAUACAUCUAUUAUGAUAAUUUUUCUUUUAUGUUCUUUCUCUUAAAAAAAAAAAAAAACUAUUUCCUUGCUUUUAACCUAAAAACAGUUGAGAUAAAAAUAAAAUAAAAGAAGGAAAAACAACUCGUAGCAAAUUUAUGGUAUUAUAGGAAUAAAAUCUAUCCCAAAAUAAUACUCAUUCCUUGAACUCAUGAAUUUGAUUAUUUAUUAUGGUUAUUCUUGAUAUUAUUAUGAUAUUAAUGAUUUUUUAAACAAUAACAUAUACUUAUUUUGAUAAUUUUGACAAAGUUUACUAUUUGAUAUUUUGAUAUUUGUUUGUAAUAAUAACUUAAUUGUUGGGGGCAAGAUGAUAUUUAUUGUAAAAUAAAAUGACAAAAAGACUUUGUGGAUCUUUUCAACACAAAAUUAAGAGCAGAGGGGUGUAUGAUGACACCAACCUGAGGUCAAUUUUCAGCUCUAUAAAUUAUCUAGCUAGUUGUGCUUGCUGAGAGAGCAAUUAGCCAUGGAGAAUGGGACGAGCAAGAUCCUCAUAUUUGGGGGAACUGGCUACAUAGGCAAGUAUAUGGUGAAAGCAAGUGUUUCAAUGGGUCACAAAACUUAUUUAUAUGCUCGUCCCAUCACCACACAAUCUUCUCCUGCUAAAAUAAGCAUCCACAAGGAAUUCCAAGCGAUGGGGGUCACCAUUGUUCAAGUAUCUAUUGAUUAAUCUAAUUACCCCUUCGUUUUCUAAUUUACCAACAUUCAUCUUGAUUACCCUUCACUCUACAUGUACGUAUUCAAAAGAAUGACGUUAUAUAACUAAAUAGUUUUCAAGUGUUGCAGGGAGAAUUCGAUGAGCAGGAGAAACUUGUAUCGGUUCUUCGUGAUGUGGAUGUAGUAAUCUCCACAGUAGCUUAUCCUCAGGUUCUCGACCAACUCAAAAUCAUAGAAGCCAUAAAAGUUGCUGGUAAUAUAAAGGUAUAUAUCCUCUUGUUAAAGUAUAACAAUUUGGAGAAUGUUAUAUAUAGUUAUGUGCAUGUAUGGUGGUGGGAUAGCUAAGCUUGUGCAUGUAAUUUUCUGUGCAUACUAGAGGUUCUUUCCAUCAGACUUUGGAGUUGAAGAGGACAGAGUGACUCCCUUGCCCCCAUUUGAAGCUUUCCUCGACAAGAAGAGGAAGAUUAGGAGGGCCACAGAGGAAGCUGGAAUCCCUUACACUUUUGUGUCAGCAAAUUGCUUUGGUGCAUAUUUUGUCAAUGUCUUGCUCCGUCCACAUGAGCAACCUCAAGAUAUCUCUGUCUAUGGCUCUGGUGAAGCUAAGGGUACGAAAGCAUCUAUUCCAUUCAUUCAUUAUCGUUAUUGUGUAAAUCAAAAUCCAAAUUCACUGUACACGUACACUACAUCAAUUAAUAUCUAUAUAUUAUGUUUAACAGCGGUGAUGAACUAUGAAGAAGAUAUAGCCAUGUACACCAUCAAAAUAGCUGAUGACCCCGAAACAUGCAAUCGAGUUGUAAUCUAUCGGCCGCAGAAGAACAUUGUAUCUCAGCUUGAACUUAUUUCCCUUUGGGAGAAGAAGACUGGAAAGACAUUUAAUAGGAUUUACGUCCCUGAGGAUGAGAUAGUGAAGCUCUCUGAAAGUAAGAAAUUUCUGUUGACUCGUUAUUUUUUAAUAUUUGAUAUAUUUUGGCUUCUUGCCCUUUUCAUUUGAUUAAUGGGAUUCUUCCAUUCUAUAUAUAUAUAAAAUAUGUGUUGUUAGAAAAAAUGUCCUAUAUAAUUUUUUUUUAUCCCAAACUACAUUGUCAGGUGAUUUCUUUUCACCUUUUAAAAGCAUUUGACUUCUUGCUAACAUCUGUUGCAGCCCUUCCACAUCCACAAAAUAUUCCAGUUUCUAUUCUUCACAGUUUGUUCGUGAAGGGUGACAUGAUGGGGUUUGAACUGGGAGAGGAUGACUUGGAGGCUUCUGGGCUAUAUCCAGACCUGGAAUUUAGAACAAUCGAUCAACUUCUUGAUAUUUUUCUCACUAGCCCUCCAGAUCCUGCAGCUGCUGCUUUUGAAUGAGUUUUAUGAUCUGUGAUUUCCAUGUCUUGAAUUUGUUUUCUUGUUUGUAACGACCGCAGAUAUACGAACAUCUAAAAGGUCAGGUUGUGAGGCCGAGGCCAUUAUCAUUAAUAAUCGGAGUCCUUUCUCUAUAUAUGUACUUUGGUUGUAUUGCCUCUGGAGGGAUCUUGCAAUUAAUAUUGUUGUGUCUAGGACAAUAUCAUAUUGAAGGUGGGACAAAAUAUAGAGAUCUUUGUUGGACUUUAAUGCCUUUUAGGCAUCUAAAUUUUCAAAAGAAUACAUGCGUGCGUAGUAUUAUUAUUAUUAUACAUUUUAUACAAAAUACUAAAAGGCCCAGGAAAAUAUUGUUUCUUACGCUAUUCUGUAUAGACAAAUCAUUAUGCAUUGCUGUAGUGAUUUAUUUUUUUUCAUCUUUUUUUUUAAUUACAUCAUCAUGAAAAUUUAUAUGCAGUUUAAUUUUAAUCUCAAACUUUAUAUAUAUAUAUAUUUUUUUUUGGUCUUUGAUUUGGGAGAAGAAAGAUAAAAUUGUCGGAUUUCUAUAGUAAAGAGAGAAAGUAUCAGUUAAAAAAACUUAUGGCCAUGAAAAAAUAUGAUUUUGAUAUCAAUGGAUUUCUUUUGAUGAGUAUAGUUUAUCCUAUGUGUUAUUUUCCCUUGAGCUUACAUGAGAUGGUGAACUUAAGCUAGAAAAAAUCAGUUUCAAGUUUAUUGUGGUUUUCCAUGAAAAUGUUUAGGUUGUUUGAGGCUAUGCAAAUGACUUUCAAUGUAUUUAUGGUGUUUUUUGAUAUUUUUACAUCAAAAUACGGUUGAGAAUUAAUUAUUUUUUUAUCUGAAAAAUUACAACUGGUAAAGGAUGUGAUGCAACACCUCUAUUUAAAAAAAAAAAUUAAUGGGGAUGACAUAUUAUCCACCCCUUAAAUAAAUAAAAUAAAGAGGCCUAGUUGUGUAGGCUACUCCAAGCCCGCACUCCUGAUCUUUUCUUAGGUCUAGAUGCAUUGGUCAACCAAACUAAACGUAUGGGCUUCUUUUUUUUAUUUUUUGCAUUUUUUUAAUGGUUUUUUUUUCAAAUUUAAUCCAUCAUAAUUUGAUCUUUAUUAAUUUUUCUAGUUUUAUUAUUUAAUAUUUUGAUGAUUAUUUAUUAGAUAACAUUAUUUGUUUCGGUUUGAAUGUGUUGAUGAAUAAGGUGAGAGUUAAGUGAAUUUAAAUAGGUAUAUCCAUUAUUAUACAUCUAUAAUGAUAAUUUUUCUUUUUUUUUCUUUUUUUCUUUUUAAAAAAACCUAUUUCCUUGCUUUUAACCUAAAAAGUACAGUUGAGAUAAAAAAUAAAAUAAAAGAAGGAAAAAAAUCCAUAGCAAAUUUAUGGUAUUAUAGGAAUAAAUUCUAUCUCAAAAUAAUAGUCAUUCCUUUAACUUCUUGAUGAUUUUAUUGGAUUGGAUUAUUUAUUAUGAUUAUUCUUGAUAAUAUUAUGAUAUUAAUGAUUUUUUUAACAAUAACAUAUACUUAUUUUGAUAAUUUUGACAAGGUUUACUAUUUGAUAGUUUUUUUAUUUUUUUUAAUAAUAACUUAAUUGUUAGGGGAAAGAUGAUAUUUAUUGUAAAAUAAAAUGACAAAAAGACUUUGGAUCGUUUAAACACAAGAUUAAGAGCAGAGGGGCGUAUGAUGACAUUAACCUGAGGUCAAUUUUCGGCUCUAUAAAUUAUCUUUCACUGGAAUAAGAUGUAGUAUGUGGUUUAGUUUUCAUUACUUACUAUUAUAUUACUAUUUUGCUCAUUUGCCGAUGUGAUACCUGACCUUAUUAUAACAAAUAACCAUUGAUUUAGUUGUGAAUAUUGGACCCAAAAAUGACAAAUUAAAUGGUGCUAAAAACAAAUCCAAAAGUUAGUUAACAGUUCUCUUCUUCUUUUUUAAUUAGCGUGAGUAUCCGGGUCAGUUUGCGUGCACCUCGACUAAUCUACGGGCCCCGAAGUUAACGAUCAUAUAAGCUUCCAGUGACUCUGAAUGUUUGUGGGACUCAGAACUGGUAACCUCUAGAAAACAAACUCAGGACCUGACCAGUUAAGUUAUACCCUUUAAAUUACGAUUCUCGUUUUCUUUUUCAUAGAAAGAGAAGUUUCAUUGGAAUAUCAGGUGAAGAAGAACAGUGCAGUAGAGGAGGAAGAGAGUUCCUUUGUGUGUGAGAGAGAAAGAAUAUGAACAGAAAAAAACACAAAGAAAGCACAGCUCUUCAAUCUAACUGCGAAAAGUUGUAACAGAGAAACAAAGGAAAGCUGGAAAAACAAUUAUGGCGAAGGAAAACUUCCUUUAUUUAAAUAUUCUAAAUUGAAAUUCCAUCGAAAUGUUACAAAACAAAGCAAACAUAGGAGGGUAUUUGGUUACACCUUCCACCUUUUGAAUUCUCAAGCCAUCAACCCUUAAAAAUUUGAGGUCUGACGAAAAAUGGCAUUAAAUAAUAAUAAAUGAAGGGGAAAAAAACUAACUACUCACUUUUCCAUUCAAGGAAGCCAUCGUGUAUUUGAAUAGAUGAUUUCCACAUCUGUUGAUUUUUUUUAUCCCAAACUACAUUGUCAGGUGAUUUCUUUUCACCUUUUAAAAGCAUUUGACUUCUUGCUAACAUCUGUUGCAGCCCUUCCACAUCCACAAAAUAUUCCAGUUUCUAUUCUUCACAGUUUGUUCGUGAAGGGUGACAUGAUGGGGUUUGAACUGGGAGAGGAUGACUUGGAGGCUUCUGGGCUAUAUCCAGACCUGGAAUUUAGAACAAUCGAUCAACUUCUUGAUAUUUUUCUCACUAGCCCUCCAGAUCCUGCAGCUGCUGCUUUUGAAUGAGUUUUAUGAUCUGUGAUUUCCAUGUCUUGAAUUUGUUUUCUUGUUUGUAACGUCCGCAGAUAGACGGACAUCUAAAAGGUCAGGUUACUCUGGUCUACGUUCGUAUUGUGUUGGGUUACUUGUUCACGCAUCAUGUUUAUCACAUGAAAGUUUCUUCUUUUUUUUU
rnacentral:lncRNA from 1 species